UAAAACAAAAUAGGAACUUUUUAUAUUAUUGAGUUCUAGUGUAAAAAGAAGUGGAAAUGAAAUUUUGCCCAGAAGACGACAAUUUAAGGAGCGGUGAAAACGCAUCCUUUACAACAUUAGGCCAACCAGCGAGUGUGGAUCAAAUCCCACAGAACCAUUUAAACGAGUCGCCAUAUGUUCUAAAUAACGAAGCUUUAAGUUUGGAAAGUUCGUUAACAACAGGAGACUUAAAUUCUGUGAAGGUAAAUAU